rnacentral:rRNA from 1 species
CCUUAGGACAGUUAAUCUAAGGUUAAACCUGCCCAAUGUUAACUUUAUUAAUGGCCGCGGUACUUUGACCGUGCUAAGGUAGCGCAAUCAAUUGGCUUUUAAUUGAAGCCACGUAUGAAUGGAAUCACGGGGUUUAGCUGUCUCCUGGAUAAUCUAUCAAAAUUACUAUCUAGGUGAAAAAGCCUAGCAAAAGAAAAAAGACGAGAAGACCCUUAGAGUUUUUCCAAAAUUAGAUUAUUUCUAAUACAGUUUAGUUGGGGCAACAUAGGAACACAAUUUUAAACCUCCUGUAAAAUACUUACCGAUAUUUAUAAAUAUGAACAAACUACCUUAGGGAUAACAGCAUAAUUUCAUAAAUAAGUUUGUGACCUCGAUGUUGGACUAGGAAACUGGAAGGCUAGCCGCCUUCUAGGAAAGUUCUGUUCGAACUAUUAUUCCU